rnacentral:rRNA from 1 species
AGAGUUUGAUCAUGGCUCAGGAUGAACGCUAGCGACAGGCUUAACACAUGCAAGUCGAGGGGCAGCGAGGGAGUGGCAACACUUCUGUCGGCGACCGGCGCACGGGUGAGUAACGCGUAUGCAACCUGCCCUUCACAGGGGGAUAACCGGGAGAAAUUCCGACUAAUACCGCAUACGUCCCCUGGGGGCAUCCCCUGGGGAUGAAAGAAUUAUCGGUGAAGGAUGGGCAUGCGUGAUAUUAGGUAGUUGGCGGGGCAACGGCCACCAAGCCCACGAUAUCUAGGGGUUCUGGAGAGGAACGGUCCCCCACAUUGGUACUGAGACACGGACCAAACGUCUACGGAGGCA